CCUACGGGCGGCUGCAGUGAGGAAUAUUGGUCAAUGGACGAGAGCCUGAACCAGCCAAGUCGCGUGAGGGAGGACGGCCCUACGGGUUGUAAACCUCUUUUGCCGGGGGACAAACGGAGGCACGCGUGCCGUCCUGCGUGUACCCGGUGAAAAAGCAUCGGCUAACUCCGUGCCAGCAGCCGCGGUAAUACGGAGGAUGCGAGCGUUAUCCGGAUUUAUUGGGUUUAAAGGGUGCGUAGGCGGGAUGCCAAGUCAGCGGUCAAAUACGGGGGCUCAACCUGAGGACGCAGUUGAAACUGGCGUUCUUGAGUGGGCGAGAAGUACGCGGAAUGCGUGGUGUAGCGGUGAAAUGCAUAGAUAUCACGCAGAACCCCGAUUGCGAAGGCAGCGUACCGGCGCCCAACUGACGCUGAAGCACGAAAGCGGGGGUAUCGAACAGGAUUAGAUACCCCUGUAGUC
rnacentral:rRNA from 1 species